rnacentral:pre_miRNA from 1 species
UAUUCCCUCCCUCCGUCCAACUAAAAAUGUCUCAAGUUUGUCAAAAAAAUUAGAUAUAUCUAAACAUGACUUAAUGUAUAGAUGCAUUCAAAUUUAGUCAAAGUUGAGACAUUUUUGUUGGACGGAGCAAGUACGUG